UAGGGAAUCUUCCGCAAUGGGCGAAAGCCUGACGGAGCAACGCCGCGUGAGUGAUGAAGGUCUUCGGAUCGUAAAACUCUGUUAUUAGGGAAGAACAAAUGUGUAAGUAACUAUGCACGUCUUGACGGUACCUAAUCAGAAAGCCACGGCUAACUACGUGCCAGCAGCCGCGGUAAUACGUAGGUGGCAAGCGUUAUCCGGAAUUAGUGGGCGUAAAGCGCGCGUAGGCGGUUUUUUAAGUCUGAUGUGAAAGCCCACGGCUCAACCGUGGAGGGUCAUUAGAAGCUGGAAGACUUGAGUGCAGAAGAGGAAAGUGGAAUUCCAUGUGUAGCGGUGAAAUGCGCAGAGAUAUGGAGGAACACCAGUGGCGAAGGCGACUUUCUGGUCUUUAACUGACGCUGAUGUGCGAAAGCGUGGGGAUCAAACAGG
rnacentral:rRNA from 1 species